GACUGCGCCAUUAGCCUAGUGGUUAAAGCAUUUGCCUUGGAUGCAGGAGGUUGUGGGUUCGAACCAUGGCUGAGUCU